rnacentral:tRNA from 1 species
GGGUCGUUAGCUCAGUUGGUAGAGCAGUUGACUUUUAAUCAAUUGGUCGCUAGGUUCGAAUCCAUGCACGACCCA